CUACUGGGGUAUCUAAUCCUGUUCGCUCCCCACGCUUUCGUCCAUCAGCGUCAAUAAAUUGUUAGUAAUAUGCCUUCGCUAUCGGUGUUCUGUGUAAUAUCUAAGCAUUUCACCGCUACACUACACAUUCCAACUACUUCACAAUCAUUCAAGACUGACAGUUUCAAAGGCAGUUGCUUAGUUGAGCUAAGCGCUUUCACCUCUGACUUAUCAGCCCGCCUACGGACCCUUUAAACCCAAUGAUUCCGGAUAACGCUCGCAUCCUCCGUAUUACCGCGGCUGCUGGCAC
rnacentral:rRNA from 1 species